rnacentral:rRNA from 1 species
AGCGGAGGAAAAGAAACCAACAGGGAUUGCCUUAGUAACGGCGAGUGAAGCGGCAAAAGCUCAAAUUUGAAAUCUGGCACCUUCGGUGUCCGAGUUGUAAUUUGAAGAAGGUAACUUUGGAGUUGGCUCUUGUCUAUGUUCCUUGGAACAGGACGUCACAGAGGGUGAGAAUCCCGUGCGAUGAGAUGCCCAACUCUAUGUAAAGUGCUUUCGAAGAGUCGAGUUGUUUGGGAAUGCAGCUCUAAGUGGGUGGUAAAUUCCAUCUAAAGCUAAAUAUUGGCGAGAGACCGAUAGCGAACAAGUACAGUGAUGGAAAGAUGAAAAGAACUUUGAAAAGAGAGUGAAAAAGUACGUGAAAUUGUUGAAAGGGAAGGGCUUGAGAUCAGACUUGGUAUUUUGCGAUCCUUUCCUUCUUGGUUGGGUUCCUCGCAGCUUACUGGGCCAGCAUCGGUUUGGAUGGUAGGAUAAUGACUAAGGAAUGUGGCUCUACUUCGGUGGAGUGUUAUAGCCUUGGUUGAUACUGCCUGUCUAGACCGAGGACUGCGUCUUUUGACUAGGAUGUUGGCAUAAUGAUCUUAAGCCACCCGUCUUG